AAAAAAAAAUCAUUAUUUUGUUUAUGAUAAAAAUUUAAUUAGAAUUAAUUUAUAAUAAUAUUAUACUACUAAUUGCAAAAUUAAUCAGUGCAUUAAUUAGAAGAAUAUUUAAAUUUUUAAGAAGAUUUUGUUAGAUUUUUUCUCAACAGAUUCUGUUAUUCCUAAAACGAAAGUUUAAAUUUAUAGUUAAAAUAGAUUUGUUAUUAAUAUCCUUAUAAUUAUUUAGAAAUGUUAUACACUAAAUAAACUAAUGUAAACAACAACAAAAUUAUUUGAAUAUAUGGACCUAGACUUCUAGUAUGACUAUUUUGUAGUAGAUAAAAAUGAUACUUCUCUUUUAAUAGAGAAGAUUAUUGUAACAAGUUUAUCUAGCUAUAAAAAUACUCCAAUUAUAUAUUCUUAAGCUUUUCAUCACCCAAACAUUUUUGCUACUCAAUUUAAUAUUCAAACUAAUUUUUUUUUCUCAUUUUAAUACACUUACUUUUAAAACUAUGCCUAUUUUAAUAUCCAAACUACACUAAUUUUAAUAAACCAAAUAUUAAUAAGUUUCAGACAAAGCUUAAACAAUAUCUAAAAUUAAAAUUUAAAUCUUAAAAUUUUCAAAAUUUAUUUAAAUUUUAAGAAUAAAAUUAACUAAGUUUUGGAUAGUAUUUUAAAAUUUAGAAAAAAACAUUUUGAAUAAAAUAAAUAAAUUAUUUUUAAACUUUAAAAAACAAAAAUAAAUUUGAAAUUAAAACUAAAACUAAUAUUAAAAAAACAAUUCAAGAUUAUCCAAAUAUAGUUACUUUUAUUCUUAAAAGUUAAAAUAAAAUUUAAUAAUUUUAAGAUUUUUUGAAAUUUUAGAGAUUUCUAAGUUUUGUUUGAAAGUUAUUAUUAACAUGAGCAUACUUUAGGUAUUAAAAUGAGCAUAUUUUAAAAGUAAAUGUAUUAAAAUGAGAAAAAUAAUUAGUUUAGGUAUUAAACUGAAUAAAAAAAGUUUGGGUAUUAAAAAGUUUAACAAAAUUUAGUUGCGUUAUUUUUAUGGAAUUUUCCCUUUUAAGAAUUAACCUUUGUUUCUAAAUAUAUUUUUUUUUGUAAUAAUCAUACUUUAUAGAUCGAAUGGUCAUAGUCAAUGGUCAAUCAUAUCUGGUUUAGUAAUGUUCCUAAUUUUUUCUUUGACUCUUGUGGAAUCUUAUACACCACUUAUUUAGAAAAAGAAGAAAGAAAAAAGUAACACAUUAACAAUAUUGUGCUUUUUGUCAUCAAGGAUAUUUUGUUUAAAAGUGGUAUUUAAUGUUUUUGCACAUGGAUUAAUAUUUUUUUUAUUUUUAUAUAAUUUAUCUUGGUUACAUAUGAAUAUCAUUAAAUAAAAUUAAUUCAACCAAUAAAAAAUUAGUCACGAAAUUCAAAUGAUAUUAAAUUCUAUUUAGAAUAGUGAAUACAUCAAUUAUUUUCGCUGCAAAAAUAUUUUCUUUAAACACCACUUAAAUUGAUAUGGUAGAAUUAUACAGCAAGAUUUUCUAAAUAAUCUAUAAGAAGAAAAUAUAUGUGCAUAUAUGUUAGGUAAAGAAAAAAAAGACUAGUCAAAACGAUAAUUAAUGGAUAAAUAUAUUGCCUCUUUAAAAUUAUUUGGUGACAUAACAUACUUUAUAUUUAUCUUAAAUAUUUUAUUUUGUAUAAAUAAUACCAAGAAUAUAAAAUCACAGUUUUCAGGAGAAGCACAUCACAAGAUUGCUUAAGACGUCAAAACCAUGAAAAUACAGGCAUCCUUGAUAUUCAUGUUCAUCCUCUCUUUCUUUGCUUUACAUCAGUGUGCAAAGACGAAUGUUAAAGGAAUAGAGGAUUCAAACAUAGUCAUAACAUCAAAUUGUGUUCAGGCUGGGUGUUUUCAUAUAUUUAAAAAAGAUUGUUGGUGUUGUCCAGGACCAGGACGCAAAUGUUGGAAAGACAAAGCUUCGUGUGAUGCUAUAUGUCCUCGUCCUCCAAAAUAAUGUAAUAAAUCUUAAUUUAUUAGAAAUUGUUGUUCAGUGACGCAUAUUAAAGUAUUCAAUAAUAAAAAAUAAAUUAGUUUUACCUACAUUAGUCUUCUUAUUUAUAACUUGCAUUUUUAUUUAAAUACUUAGGAAAAAAUUUAAGAAUCAUUUUGUCAUUGAAUUUCAUCACAUUCGUUACAUACAUUUAUGCAACUCGAUUAUGUUCCAGUUAUGAAGCAAAUCACAUUUUAAUUUAACAAAACCUAUUAACAAGCAAUGUUAAUGUUAUUCAUAUAAAAUGAAUCAUUUUAAAUCGCCAUAAUUUUUUGUAUUUUUAAAUAUAAAUUCUCUGUUCUCAAAUUAGAUAAAAACUUAUAGUUCACCAUUAGUUUAUAUUAUUUUUGAAAAUGUUAACUCCAUUGAACAAGAGUGGAUUUAUUAUUAAAAAUAAUUAUUUUUUUGUUUAAACAGUUUUAAUAAAUUUGUACAGUGACAAGAAUCCCCAUAGUUGAAUUGAAACUAACAUUGGAAAACGACACUAAAUGGCAAAAAUCAUAUUAGCAAUGUUAUUCAAAAUAUGCAUAAAAAUGUCAAAGUGUUUUUAUACGGUAAAAUUGAAAAUUUGAUAUUUUAAUCAAUGUUAUAAUUAAAUAGUUGUUAGGAUCAGUUGAUAUUUCUUGCAUGUAUGAUUUUUAUAAUAGUCGAAUGAAUGAUGCAUCUUAAUUUAAAGGAAUAGUGGUUAAGUUUAGGUAGGAUUUUUGUUCGCUACAAAAACUGCAUUGGGCCUCCAGAUAUUACUUGACAACUUAGCAUACACAAGAAGACUGGCCUUAAAAGCCCUGCGUACAAAAAUAAAGAAUUUUCUUUUCGAAUGCUAUAAGAUGCUUAAAUCAGUAAAGUGUUUGGGGCUAAUGAUCAAUCGCACCUAUCGGAUGUGAGUGUUUGGUAUAAUAAUACUAAUGCACUCUAUAGAAGUGGGGUUAUAACUUUAGGCCAAGUCCAAUCGAACACUAUAGCUGUAAAAUAGUGCAAUAUUUGCGGUUUCCUCUCUCCAACCACACGGUAAAAGGAACUGUAUUUUUUUUUCAAAACUGUUUUUUAAUAUGUUAUUUAUAUUUUUUAUAUAUCUUAUUAUUUUUUAUCACUGGAUAUGAUAUCUCAAUAAAGUAAAUAUGUCAUAUUUGUUUUGUUAUCUUUUAAAUUUAUUUAAUGUAAAAUAUUAAUUUAUAU